UCUCUCUCUCUCUCUCUCUCUCUCUCUCUCUCUCUCGUUAUAUUAUAUAUUUAUAGAAGAUUGUACAUAAUUGAUUUCUCUUUUGUAGAUUCACUUUUCGGGAAUAUAUUAGUCACAUUCAUGUAUAUAUAUAGUGAUUACUUGUUGAGGUUUUCUACGAUAUCACAUUCAUGUAUUCAUAGUGAUACUUGUUGAGGUUUUCUACAUCAUCGUUCAAGUAAUGAGAUUUAGCUUACUGGCGAUCUGAAUAUUAUUAAAUCCAACCAGUUUUUGAAGGUACUCUCGAAGGAUCUGAUUUGAACCGAGUUUUUUUUGAAUUCUAAUUCAAACCCUAGCCACUGAGGAUAUGAAUUGACGGAUUUGAACAGAAUUGUUUCUGUUGUUUGUUUUGUCUUGUGGUAAUUAUGAGUAUUUAUUUAAUCUAGGUCUGAUUUGAUUUGCUUUGAUUUGCAAACUUACGGUUCAGCUAUUGAGAUUCUGGCAAGUGUAGCAUCAUAUCUGAAUUGGCUCCAUGGUUUCCUUUGAAAUGGACGACCACAAAAAGACUGGGCUUGGAUUGACUGGGUUUGGCGUGUUUUUCUCGUUUUUGGGAGUUUUUUUCUUCUUUGACAAGGGCCUACUUGCCAUGGGAAAUGUAAGUAAAAGUAUUUAUUAGCCUUUCAUUUGUCAGCUUCUUCCAUUGUUGGGAGUUUAUGAUUUGUGUUUUGUUGUAUAUAGCGUAGAGUGUGUAGGUUUUGUAUUGGAAUUGUUAAUGUGAGGUAGAGUGACAAAACAAAGUGAGAAAUGGUGAGUGGAGCAAAAAACAUGAGUUUCCGCCCUGUUUGGGGUUUGUGUGUAAGUUUGUGAGUGAGUUGUUAUAAUUAUGUUUUUCCCUUUAGCAAUUGAAAUACAUAAGUGUGUGAUUGUGUGAAAAUACAGGAACAAUGCGAGAUUGUUCCGCACAAGUCAAAAGAACAGGUUCUGCAAGGUGCAGAGAGACGACAACAAACAGUUUUCAAGUGACGAAGAGGAAAAGGACAAGGGAUGGGUUUUGGAAAGAUAAUCAAGGGAGUGUUGUCAUUGUAAGAUUGAUGGAGAGUAGGGUUGAUGUGUGAUGAUGAGGUUGAGAGACCAAUGGGAGGUAGAAGUACAAGAGGGGGUCCAAGGGUGAAGCUGGAAUUGAGUGAGUUUAUCAAGGGGCUGGGAGACAUGAUAAUGGUUUAGAGGUUCAGAAUUUAUGAUUUGUGUUUUGUUGUAUAAUUGCAUAGUCUAUAUAGGUUUUUUCAUUACAAAUGUUAAAUGUGUGGUAGAGUGACAAAACAAAGUGAGAGAGGGCGAGAGGAGCAAAAAACCAGUGGGUUUUUUUUUCCCUAUGGGGGUUUGUGUGUGAGUUGUUGUAAUUAUGUUUUUUUUUCCUGAGCAAUUGAAUACAUAAGUGUGAUUGUGUGAAAAUACAAGGAACAAUAUGAGAUUGCUCCGCACAAGUGAGAAGAACACGUUGUUUUGCAAGGCGCAGAGAGACGACAACAAACAGUUGUGCUUGAUUGAGAACAGGGUUGAUGUGUAAUGAGGUUGAGAGACAAAGGGAGUGGUAGAAUGAAAGAUGGGGUCCGAGGAUGAAGCUGAAAAUUGAGUUAGUUUAUCAAGGGGAGACAUGAUAGUUGGAGAUUGAGAGUUUAUGAUUUGUGUUUCGUACUGAGAUGUAAAUGUUGAGAGUGAAUGAUUUGUGCUUCUUUUGUUGGCUAGUUAUCCGUAGAGUUUGUGUAGGGAUCUAGUUGAACAGAACACUAUGGACUUUUCAUGUUUCAAGUCCUGAACAUAUUACAGUUGAUGUUAUAAGGCAACCCCACUUAAUAUUUUGCAUCAUGCUGCUGCAUUCAAUGAAGUUCUUUUCUUGUCACCUGCUUGAAUGAAGUAUAUUUCCAUAUGGAAAUAGUACGUCGCUUGUAAUAAUGGCAAUAAAAGUGCAAUUAGUGAAUAAGUUGAGCCUUCUUGAAAUCUUAAAUUUUGAACUUUUCCACAUAUUCCCAAAUUGUUAGAAUUAGAAAUAGUAUCAAGUAUGUCUGGUUUUUGUUUUCUAAGGUUGGCUAGUUUGUAAUAUAAGAUGAUCAGCUAAUCAUUUGGCUUGUGACUCAUGACUUCAUCAUAUUUUUGUCGUUUCCUUGGCUGGCAAGGUCGUGAAUUCUAUUACUUCAAACCUAUUCCAUUCCUAGCUAGUGGAGAUUUAGACUUUUUCAUAACCAACAAUAAUUUUUUGGGCAUAUUUCUCAGGUUUUUGUAUGAAGUAAAAAAAAUAAUCUCGAAUGGCUAGUUGAUUUAGCAUAAGAAGUAAGCUGUCUUCUGAAGUACACGAGUCAUUCUGUUAUGCUCUUAUAUACAUGACACUGAUUAAUAAAUAGUUCUAAUGCAUCUCAUUAGAUUCUACUUUUGUGAUAAUUUGGGGACCAUAGCUCCCCUUUGCAUACUGUUGUGGGAGGGAGUGGUCUCUACAUAUUUAGCCAUUUUUUAAAAUUUUUGAUUUGAAAUUUUCUCUGGUCUCUAUAUGCAGUUCUUUGACCGUUCUCGUAGCAAAAGGGUGCCUGUAUAACCGUAGAAGUUAGAUCUAGGGAAAGUUAUGCCUGCUUACACACUUGUAUGUGUUGUGAAAUACCAGAAGAUGAAUGAUACCAUUUUCAGGGUGACUGUAUAAAAUGUUCUCAAGUAAUUGCAGCAGUUUUGUUGCGACAAUUCUUUAGUUGUUUGUUUCAGAUAUUGACAAACGGACCAUCAUAUUUCAAGGAUUCUUCUCUUAAUAAUAUGUGUAUGCAUAUACCAAUUACCAUGGCUCACUGAUAGAUUUUCUCAUCAAAAGCAUUGAUUGUAGUAUGUUGUGCAAUUUGAAUUCUUAUGUGAAGCUGAUUUUGGAUUUUUCA